GGGGACCUUCGGGGCCCUAAACUACGGGGACUAACCUCCCUCAAAGCAACGGAAGACAGAGA
rfam:Donghicola sp. JL3646 contig4, whole genome shotgun sequence.